rnacentral:snRNA from 1 species
GUGCUAGCUUUAGCAGCACACAUACUAAAAUAGAAAUGAUACAGAGAAGAUUAGCAUCUCCCUGCACAAGGACAAUGUGCAAAUUCAUGAAGCAUUCCAUAAAAAA